GACGAACGCUGGCGGCGUGCCUAAUACAUGCAAGUAGGACGCAGUUGCGAACGGGUGAGUAACGCGUAGGUAACUACCUAUUAGAGGGGGAUAACUAUUGGAAACGAUAGCUAAUACCGCAUACUAGUAGAUGGACCUGCUUUGUAUUAGUUAGUAGGUAGGGUAAUGGCCUACCUAGGCAACGAUACAUAGCCGAACUGGGGGGGGGAUCGGCCACACUGGGACUGGGAAACGGCCCAGACUCCGACGGGAGGCAGCAGUAGGGAAACUUCGGGAAUGGGGCGAAACCUGACCGAGCAACGCCGCGUGAGUGAAGAAGGUUUUCGGAUCGUAAAGCUCUGUUGUUGAGGAAGCGGUACUUAACCAGAAAGGGACGGCUAACUACGUGCCAGCAGCCGCGGUAAUAC
rnacentral:rRNA from 1 species